rnacentral:misc_RNA from 1 species
GUAGGUGAACCUGCGGAAGGAUCAUUAACGUGGGGCUACGGCCCCGCCGAGAUAGAACCCUUGCCUUUUGUAUACCGUCCGUUUCCUCGGCAGGCUCGCCUGCCAAUGGGGACCAUAAUAAACCUUUGUAAUAACCUGUAAUUGUCUGAUCAAAAAAUUAAAUUUAAAACUUUUAACAACGGAUCUCUUGGUUCUGGCAUCGAUGAAGAACGCAGCAUCUGACUGACUCGGGCAUAAGUCAUCUCGUAUG